rnacentral:rRNA from 1 species
CAGUCGCCGCGGGAAUACGUAGGUGGCAAGCGUUGUCCGGAUUUAUUGGGCGUAAAGCGAGCGCAGGCGGUCAAUUAAGUCUGAUGUGAAAGCCCCCGGCUCAACCGGGGAGGGUCAUUGGAAACUGGUUGACUUGAGUGCAGAAGAGGAGAGUGGAAUUCCAUGUGUAGCGGUGAAAUGCGUAGAUAUAUGGAGGAACACCAGUGGCGAAGGCGACUCUCUGGUCUGUAACUGACGCUGAGGCUCGAAAGCGUGGGUAGCAAACAGGAUUAGAUACCCCCGUAGUCCCUGUCUCUUAUAC